UAGAGUUUGAUCAUGGCUCAGGAUGAACGCUAGCGACAGGCUUAACACAUGCAAGUCGAGGGGCAGCGGGUAGAUGAGCUUGCUCAUUUAUGCCGGCGACCGGCGCACGGGUGAGUAACACGUAUGCAACCUGCCCGUCUCAGGGGGAUAAUCGUCGGAAACGGCGUCUAAUACCCCGUAUGAAGCUGGACGGCAUCGUCUGGUUUUGAAAGAAUAUCGGAGACGGAUGGGCAUGCGGCGCAUUAGCUGGUUGGCGGGGUAACGGCCCACCAAGGCAACGAUGCGUAGGGGUUCUGAGAGGAAGGUCCCCCACACUGGUACUGAGACACGGACCAGACUCCUACGGGAGGCAGCAGUGAGGAAUAUUGGUCAAUGGGCGAGAGCCUGAACCAGCCAAGUCGCGUGAGGGAGUACUGCCCUAUGGGUUGUAAACCUCUUUUGUCGGGGAGCAAAAGCCGGACGUGUCCGUCUGUGAGAGUACCCGAAGAAAAAGCAUCGGCUAACUCCGUGCCAGCAGCCGCGGUAAUACGGAGGAUGCGAGCGUUAUCCGGAUUUAUUGGGUUUAAAGGGUGCGCAGGCGGAUUUUUAAGUCAGCGGUCAAAUCGUGGGGCUCAACCCCAUCCAGCCGUUGAAACUGGGGAUCUAGAGUGUGCGAGAGGUAUGCGGAAUGCGUGGUGUAGCGGUGAAAUGCAUAGAUAUCACGCAGAACCCCGAUUGCGAAGGCAGCAUACCGGUGCACAACUGACGCUCAGGCACGAAAGCGUGGGUAUCGAACAGGAUUAGAUACCCUGGUAGUCCACGCAGUAAACGAUGAAUGCUACCUGUUUGGCCAGAUUGAUGGCUGA
rnacentral:rRNA from 1 species